rnacentral:rRNA from 1 species
GACGAAGGUGGCAAGCGUUGCUCGGAAUCACUGGGCAUAAAGCGCGCGUAGGUGGCUUGAUAAGUCGGUGGUGAAAUCCCAUGGCUCAACCAUGGAACUGCCGUCGAUACUGUCAGGCUUGAGGGCGGUAGGGGAGAGUGGAACUCCUGGUGUAGCGGUGAAAUGCGUAGAUAUCAGGAGGAACGCCGGUGGCGAAAGCGACUCUCUGGGCCGUUCCUGACACUAAAGUGCGAAAGCUAGGGGAGCAAACGGG